GAUUUGGCUUUAUCGAAGACCAUGUACUUAUGUCUAGAAACAAUUAUGUGGUUCAAAAGGAAGCCAACAGCAAUUUUUGUCACGACGGUCACUGAAUGUCUUGAUUUUUUGUGAUACUUCAGUAACACAUACGUGCAAUUACAAUA